CACUCUUGCUAGUCUGAGAUAAAAGCUCAGUUGACAUCCUGUGAUGACUGAUCAGUCUCUACAGACUUCCUCCUCAGAAUGAAGUUGCCUGUUCUUCUGUUGGUGCUGCUGUUGUUCACAAUUCCUGCUUCCAGGGGUGAUAUUGUGAUGACCCAAACUCCCACCUUCUUGCCUAUCAGCGUUGGAGAGCAAGUCUCCAUCUCUUGCAGGUCUAGUCAGAGUCUUGUACACAGUAAUGGAAACACCUAUUUGAGUUGGCUCCUUCAGAAGCCAGACCAGUCUCCACAGCUCAUGAUAUACAAGGUUUCCAACCGAUAUUCUGGGGUGCCAGACAGGUUUAGUGGCAGUGGGUCAGGCACAGACUUCACACUCAGUAUUAGCAGAAUGGAGCCUGAGGAUUUUGGAGUAUAUUACUGCGUGCAAAGGUCAUAUUAUCCUCCCACAGUGAUUCAGACCCUAACAAAAACAUCCUUGCUUGGGGUGGCCCAGCCGCCAAAUAAUGUUACUUAUGUAAGUUUGAGAGAGGCCCUGUGGUACUCCAGGUUAUUGCUUGAAGCUGAAGGACUUGUAGAAUGAACACGUGCCUUGGCU